rnacentral:tRNA from 1 species
GCAGUGGUGGUGCAGUGGUAGAAUUCUUGACUUCCAUGCAGGAGACCUGGGUUCGAUUCCCAGCCAGUGCA